rnacentral:rRNA from 1 species
GUCAGCUCGUGUCGUGAGAUGUUGGGUUAAGUCCCGCAACCGAGCGCAACCCUCGACCUUAGUUGCCAGCAUUCAGUUUGGGCACUCUAAGGUGGACUGACCGGCUAAAAGUCGGAGGAAGGUGGGGAUGACGUCAAAUCAUCAUGCCCCUUAUGACCUGGGCUACACACGUGCUACAAUGGGCGGUACAAAGGGUCGCGAACCCGCGAGGGGGAGCCAAUCCCAAAAAAGCCGCUCUCAGUUCGGAUUGCAGGCUGCAACUCGCCUGCAUGAAGCCGGAAUCGCUAGUAAUCGUGAAUCAGAAUGUCACGGUGAAUACGUUCCCGGGCCUU